rnacentral:rRNA from 1 species
GUGCCAGCCGCCGCGGUAAUACGGAGGGUGCAAGCGUUGUUCGGAAUCACUGGGCGUAAAGGGCGUGUAGGCGGUCCGCUAAGUCUGAUGUGAAAGCCCGGGGCUCACCCCCGGAAGGGCAUUGGAAACUGGCGGACUCGAGUCCCGGAGAGGAAGGUGGAAUUCCUGGUGUAGCGGUGAAAUGCGUAGAUAUCAGGAGGAAUACCGGUGGCGAAGGCGGCCUUCUGGACGGUGACUGACGCUGAGACGCGAAAGCGUGGGGAGCAAACAGGAUUAGAAACCCCCGUAGUCC